rnacentral:lncRNA from 1 species
CCUGGGAGUAAGUUCUAAGCAGCCAGGCUUCAGCCACCAGGUUCAGCGCUGCUUUCCAGCACCUGCAGCGGAGCCCGGCACAAAGUCGUGCUCAGUGAAGAGGAGCUGAGUUGAUGGAUUCCACACCGUCCUCACAAAGCCCUGGGGGAGUCGCAUCUGCGCGUCUCAGGCUGUAACAGACUCGCGAAGCCCCCGGGGAGCCCGUGGAAGCAGAGUUUUGACUCAGCGGGGUGGUGGGGAGUCCGAGAGGCUUUGCCUCUAUGGACCCCAAGGCAGCUGCUGGCCACAGGCAAGGACUUAGCUGCUGUGACUAUCACCAUUUCACAGAGAAGCAAGGUCAGCUCCAAAAUGUUUGUCAAGUGGCCAAUGCUCGGAGGUCUCAGGGACAGGCCGGGUCUCAGUCUGCCACAUUCCCAGAGCUCAUGUGGCUGAAAACGAAAAAACUCCGUCCUGUCGACGCUGAGGCUGGAGUGACCCCCGGUGCUUCCUCUGGUCUUUUCAAGUGGACGUGCCACCCAGGGCCCCUGGGACCAGCUCCACGCGGCCAGCCCUCGACCCUGCCUCGCCCUCUGGGGCACUUUGUGUUUGUGGGAAACUUCCUCCCAGAGGUCUUCCUGGCCCCUGGACGGUGGAGGGCUUCUCCAGGCCACAUCACGCACUCGGCGAGAGGGAGUUGGGAGGAAGCGGACGGCAUCCCCGCCCCAGACGGUCAAGGGCUUGCCCUCCUGAGAGCUCUGCUGGGGCCCAGGGAGGAGGCAAAGGGGCCAUUGCAUCCAGAGCCUUCCAGCUCCUUGGUUCUGUCUGGACUCAACACCCAGAGGGGGCCCCCCGGGGCUCUCGUGGUCGCUCGGCUACUUCCUGAGGCUGCUGUUCCCACUGACGCCACCCACGGUCACAGCCCAGUCUCCCCACUCACUCAGCCCCGCCGCCAGGCUCCUGGCCACCAGGUCCUCCAUUUCCUGAGUACUGACUGUCCCCCAGCCCAGAGCAGCCACCGUGGUCCGGUGAGUCUCACAGGGAGCCCUGGGUGGAGGCAGGCGAGGCUGAGUCUGGAGGACCUGAGAGCAGCUCAGAAAUACAGAGGCCCAAGCAGGUCACCGCACAAGAAAGGUGGCCUCAGGGACUGGCACCUGGGCGUGGGUGGGCUGUGAAAGGCAGCAGGGGCUGCGGCUCCUCUGUGGCGGCCAAGAGCUGGCAGGGGACAGGAAGACGGGCCUGCACAGUUGGACGUCCCCGGGUUCCCUUUGUCACCCAGAGAAGCCCCCAAACCUGCAGCUGCACCAACUCUCCAACAGGGAAAGGUCGAACCCAAACUGAAGGAUGUCGGAGCUCUGCGCGGGCCACCCAGCACGGCAGGGGUGAGCUCAGCCCGCCAGGGCCAUCGGCCUCAGCGCCAGCCUCGAGCCAGGAGAGGAGACCCGGGACUGGCUGGAGGCUGGAGGAGUCAGGACCUCCCCAGGGGAGAAGUGGGACACGGGGUCCCGGAAGGGAGUCCCCACACAGACGAGGCAGGGCGGGGGCAGCCAGGAGGGUCCCUGCCUGAGGCGCUCAGCGGUCACCCCAAGGCCCGAGUCGUGUGGAGAUGGCCACCUCACAGAGCCGUGACCCCAGAGAGGGUGGCCAUCAGCACAGUGACUGCAGGGCAAGGUCCCUGACAUCACAGCUCCCUCCCCCAAAAGCUCGCCACCCGCGAACACCACCAGAGCCCACCUACCCACGGGAGCCUGUAGGUGGAGCCUGUGCAGGUGAGUCUCCAACAGGUGAGGCCACCCAGGUGAGGCCAGCAGGUGGGGAAAGGAGAGGAGGGGAGGGAAGAUGUUGGCACAAGACCCCAGGGCCCUGGUCACACCCAGCAAUGACUAUAGCCACCCAGCUUACCCAUGACCCAACAGCUGAGCCUCGGUGCCAACCUCACCUGCGGGGAUUUCCGCGUCAUCGACUCUAGGGUGCAGCCCAUUCUGUCCUGCAGACAUGUGCUGUGUCUUCCUGCCUACAACCUUGGAUCCUUUGGACCUAGAUUCUGUUUUUAUGGGUAAUACAGAAAUAGAAAUCAGCUCUGAUCUGAUUUUGUAGUUUGAAUGCUGCCUGGCUGUGCUGCUCACUGGCUGUGCCAUGCUGGGUGAAUCACUCAGCCUCUCUGAGCCUCAGUUUCCACUUCUGUAAAUAUAAGAUAACAAGCUGUCCCUUAUAGGGUUCUUAAAGGCUUAGGGGCACUCGGCCACUGAGCCACACCCCCAGCCCUAUUUUGUAUUUUAUUUAGAGACACGGUCUCCCUGAGUUGCUUAGCACCUCACAGUUGCUGAGGCUGGCUUUGAAUUCGUCGUGAUCCUCCUGCCUCAGCCUCCCCAGCACUGGGAUCACAGGUGUGCACCGCCGCACCUGGCUAAAAGCCCCUUCUUAUCUUUAAAUAAAAAGAAAAGGGUUUGGGGAGGGAUCCCCUUUGCUCUGGCCGGUUUCCUCCCCGUGCUCAGUCCCCAUCUGCACAUGGCUGGCUUCCUGCCACACCUGAAGGUCCCCUCCAGGCCAUUCUUCCUGGACCACCUCUGGGCGAGCCGUGGUGUGGUCUGUGGUCUGUGGUGGCAGAGGCGCACUCGGCCCUGCGCCUUGGCCCUGCUGACCCCUGGGGCCAUGGGAGCCCCAGGAAGGAAUGGCCAAUACAGUCCAAGGUGCGAACAAGGAGAGGCCGUCCAUUAAGCACCUGGAGGGAAGGACGCGGCCCAGUUACGGGCAGUGCAGCAGGAGUGGGAAGUCCCAGCACCCUCCCUCCACCGCAGCCCUGGGGCCCGUGCCCCUCUCUCCUGUGUCC